rnacentral:rRNA from 1 species
AAUAUUUCACAAUGGGGGAAACCCUGAUGCAGCGACGCCGCGUGAGCGAAGAAGGCCNNNGGGUCNUAAAGCUCUUUCCUAAGNGAANAAACGAACGGUACCUUCGGAGGAAGCCCCGGCUAACCAACUGCCAGCAGCCGCGGUAAUACGUAGGGGGCGAGCGUUAUCCGGAAUUAUUGGGCGUAAAGGGUGCGUAGGCGGCCUUUUAAGUCAGAUGUGAAAGGCUGCGGCUUAACCGUAGUUAGCAUUUGAAACUAAAAGGCUUGAGUGCAGGAGAGGAGAGUGGAAUUCCUAGUGUAGCGGUGAAAUGCGUAGAUAUUAGGAGGAACACCAGUGGCGAAGGCGACUCUCUGGACUGCAACUGACGCUGAGGCACGAAAGCGUGGGGAGCGAACA